rnacentral:rRNA from 1 species
CGGGUUGUCAUGCCAAUGGCACUGCCCGGUAGCUAAAUGCGGAAGAGAUAAGUGCUGAAAGCAUCUAAGCACGAAACUUGCCCCGAGAUGAGUUCUCCCUGACUCCUUGAGAGUCCUGAAGGAACGUUGAAGACGACGACGUUGAUAGGCCGGGUGUGUAAGCGCAGCGAUGCGUUGAGCUAACCGGUACUAAUGAACCGUGAGGCUUAACCUUACAACGCCGAAG